rnacentral:snoRNA from 1 species
CUCCAAUGAUGACUUAUAUUUUGUGCCACGUGUCUGGGCCACUGAAUUUUCAUGAUGGUAAUGAGGAACUGAUGGAG